UGCCUCAUCAAGGGAGCCUGACCUCACUCU
rnacentral:piRNA from 1 species